ACACACACACACACACACACACACACACACACACACACGAGCACGUUUCCGUGUAUCCCAGAGCAGCUAGUUUAUUGUGAGCACGCAGAAAUGUUCCUUAUCCACAGGCGUCAGUACUUACAGUCUCUCUCUCUCUCUCUCUCUCUCUCUCUCUCUAACUAUUGCAGGAAACCGACAGGCCCACUGACGUCAGCGGGGGUCCCGUCUCCGCCUCCCGAACAGAGGAAGUGCAGCCAGCUUAGGACUGGCGGUUUUCCCGGAGGUUCCUUCUUGUUAGGUCACGUUGUGUCCCUCAACUAGUGCCCGGGCUUUCCCUUCCACACCUCU